UUUUCUUUUCUUUUCUUUUUUAAUGAAUUUAUUGCUUUAUAGCCUAUGCUAGAGAAUGAUUGGCAUUUGUCUCACAGCUAUGUUGCAUUGCCAUGUGUAAACAAUGGAGUAGAAGUAUGAAAAUUUAAUAGGGAAAGUUCAAUUCAAUUCAAUUCUUUUCUUUUUGGGGAAGAACACUGAAGAAAGAGAUGAAUAUCAUUCAUACUGGCUUACACAUACCAUGCCUGGGUAUGCUUUACUACAAAUACAACCUUGUCUAAUUACAUUCAGUGAUCAUCUUCUGCUCCUAAUGAAAUGCAUCUAAAAUCUGAAUAGUUACCUUCAUUUUCCUUGUGGUUUGAACACUUUCUCAUCCGUCACAAGUCUCAACUGCUUAGACUAACAGUGGUUCUAUAUGUUGUGUUACAACUUUCUGUUGAUCAUCGUUAGCAUAGGGCCAUGGGCAUCUGGUUUAUCGGGCAUGCAUUAUUUUUUUUAAGAUUCCCUGUUUGAUUAAGAGAAUCCAUUAUCAUGCCUCAUCGUGCGAUGGUAUCACAAUUUCUAUCUGAUAAAUAGUGAAUAUAUAAUUAUAUAUUAGAUAAUUAGUGAAAUGAAUGUGGGAAAAGUUUGUUAGUAUUUUUUUGGAAACAGAUGUUAAGGACUUGAUCUCUACCCUCGCUGAUAGUCAAGGGGACUGCUUGAUAAGUGGCAGUUACAAAAUGGAAAUCUGAUUCUGUCUGCUCAUCAAGGGUUCGUGCAAUGCUAGCAUCACGAGCAUGCAGAUCAUCUGUC
rnacentral:misc_RNA from 1 species